rnacentral:misc_RNA from 1 species
AAGUCGUAACAAGGUUUCCGUAGGUGAACCUGCGGAAGGAUCAUUAACACAAAAUCUAAGAAGAGACCAUAGAAAUAUGUGUCUCAUCUUAUACUAUCCACCCGUGGUCUUGUUUCGUACCUCUGUAUGGAGGUUGAUCCAUGAAUGUUAGUGGGACCGAUGGUCAUACCGGAGUAAAUUAUUACCAUUCUCAUUCGUGGCCUGUAUCUUUCUAUUUUCUGAUCGAUUUAUACCUUGCACUGAUAUCCAUAUGCACACGAAAGUGUGUGUAUGUUUAUUGACCUCGUGUCAAUAAAACCAUAUACAACUCGUAACAACGGAUCUCUCGGCUAAU